GUAAGCAGGAUUCAUAAGAGCAGUAGUGCAUCUGAAUAAGACGUAGAGCAUCACCUGUGUCUCGUAGUGUUUGCUGUGGAGCCGGACCUGAUCCGUGAGGGAGGCACGAUUCCCAUCGCCAGAACCUUCCAGGACGUCACAGGCAAGAGCAUCAUCAUGCUGCCCAUCGGAGGCUUCGACGACGGCCUGCAUUCACAGAACGAGAAGAUCAGCAGAUACAACUACAUGGAGGGAACCAAGCUGUUCAUCGCCUACCUACAUGAAGUGUCUCAGAUCAAGAAGUACUGAUGUGAAGAUCUUCUGCUGUUCUCCGGAACAAACACAUCUCUCCAUUACUACUAACAAAUAUAUUUCUCUGUGCUGAUGCAUAUUUUGACAGAUUAAUGAUGCUGGAACAAAUUAAACAAGUGUUUUGCAAUG